rnacentral:lncRNA from 1 species
UGAUGUGUUAACCUACACAAGUCCAGAAGCUGUGACUGACGCGGCGGGAAAAUACAGUAUUCCGGUGGAGGGAGACCAUGAAGAUGAGCUUUGCCAAGUUAUGCUUUUAAAAUCACCAAACCCUGACUGUAAUGAGAUCAACAAAGACCCUUUUGUUAGGGAAUCUGCUUCUGUUACCCUUACAAACGACAAUGGUAUUGCUGGUCCUGCUCGCGAGGCCAAUCCUCUUGGCUUCUUGAAGAAAGAAAUUCUUCCUGAGUGUCCUGAGGUCCUAAGGGAAUUGGGAAUCACCCCUUCUGGUCUUGUCCCAUGAAAAUAUUAUAUAUAUAUAUAUAUAUAUAUAUAUAUAUAUAUAUAUCCUUUCUAACACCAUAACUUAAACAAAUUUGUAACUUGAUAUUAUCAAUUUCCUGUCUUGCAAAGAAAACCAUGCAUGUGUGAUUGUAAAACUCUUGAAAGUUAUACGGAAAUAGAUCAAUUAUUUAUUGUAUAGCUUUAGAAGAAUCAUGUUUAUUCUUGGCGUUUAUACAGAUAAAUAUUAUAUUCACUUACUGCUAUGUCAUAUUUUGGGGUGCGGGUAGGUAGGUUCAAUCUUUGGAUUGUAAGUUUUCUGUUUGAUUUACAUUACAUGUGUAUGUGAUAUUUUCUUUCUUAUGUUUUGCAGUGAAACCGACACUGGUACAGUGAUUGACAUUAUGACAUGUCCAGUGAAAGUUAUAGAAUUUUUAGGAAUUAUUUUUAAUUGCCAAGAAAUUCAAGAUUUCUGUUGUGAUAAUAUUUGAUGUUUGGACUGCCAACUGCUUUUUCAUCUUGUUAGCAAUAACCAAAAUUGAAAGGAUUGUAAAGGUUGCUAUAGGAGCCUUUUCUUUUGUUUCUUUGCUGUUUGCUGAAUAUUAUUUCAGGAUUAGCUAUAUUUAUCAUUCUCUCUAUUGUAAUGUUUUCAGCAUUAAAAAAAGGGAAUAGCGGGUCAACAAUACAUUUUACAACCAUACAAGCUCAACAAGAAACUAACCUCCUAAAAAAUGAACAAAACUCCAAAUUUAACUUCAUAAUUUUCCUCUUAUAAAGGAAAACUUUCUGGUUCCUCCAUUGGAAUACCAAAGGAAAAAUGAAAAUGGCCAACAUUAUCUGUCUUGCAUCUGCUAUUUGCUUUUUGUCUCUCUUUGGCUUGGCCUAUGGCGAAGCGAAAUUUAAUGUGGAGGGCGUAGUUUACUGCGACACUUGCCGUGUUCAAUUUAUGACCAAAGUCACGACGCUAAUCGAAGGUUACAGUCUGAUUUGAUUCGUCUCUUAUUAUUUAUACACAUACAUAAUUUUUUGGAGGAAUAUUAAAAUUAACAUUGUUGUUUAUGCAGGUGCGACGGUGCAUUUGGAGUGCUUUAACCGUACAGGUGAUGUGUUAACCUACACAAGUCCAGAAGCUGUGACUGACGCGGCGGGAAAAUACAGUAUUCCGGUGGAGGGAGACCAUGAAGAUGAGCUUUGCCAAGUUAUGCUUUUAAAAUCACCAAACCCUGACUGUAAUGAGAUCAACAAAGACCCUUUUGUUAGGGAAUCUGCUUCUGUUACCCUUACAAACGACAAUGGUAUUGCUGGUCCUGCUCGCGAGGCCAAUCCUCUUGGCUUCUUGAAGAAAGAAAUUCUUCCUGAGUGUCCUGAGGUCC